UUUAUGCUCCCUCGGCCCCAAAGUGGUUUGUCAGUUUUGUGAAACCCUUUAUCAUAUCAAAAUACGCCAGGAAUCAAAUGCUAUACCGAGGGAUUACCGACGGACAGGAAUCCCUUGGUGAUUAACGACAGCAUACCGAGGGAUUCUCCGUCGGUAUUAUUUCCCCCCUUUUGUUCCAUACGGUGUUUUUAUUUAAGCUUUUAAUCUUAAAUUCUUUACCGACGGAAUUAGAUCCGUCGGUAGUAAUCAGUAGCAUAAUAUCGUUUCCCCCCGCCCCAAAAAACUAAUCUCGAAAAACAUUCGUCCUUGAACAACCACCAUCGUCCGCCGAGCUACAUACAGCCUCCAUCGUCCGCCGAGCUACAGCCACUGCCGUCGCCGAGCUACAGCCACUACCGUCACCGAGCUACUUCCACAUCUGUCGCCGAUUGUGUCGCCUUCACCGUUGCCCCUUCGCCGAAGAAUUUUUGAAUAUUGAAUUCAAGCUCCAAUAUUUGAGAAUUAAGAAAUCAUUAAUGUUGACACGAAGAAGCCUUGAAGAUUGCUCAAGGAGUAGAGAUUUUAGAGAACGUGUAUAUGGUAGCUCAAGAGAAGAUCAAAGAUUUGGAAUAAGAUGAAGAAGGGUCUAAGAUAGCAUUUGUGGCAUCUGCAACUGCCUUUGAGAAGUGGACCACACGAUCUGGAUACGCCGGACAACCCAAACGCCUUUGAACUUCAACACAUUCCCAUUCUUCAAUGCUUCUAAUUUUAUUAUUUUAAUUGUAUCUCACUCAAUUUAUUUUUUAUGCAACAUAAAUGUUGUGUUUAACUAAUACUCCACUAAUAGCCGAGAUCUCUUAUUUUAUGCAUGUACAGUGAUGAAUCUAUUGCUGCAUAUGAACCGAGCUCUCGAAGUGUUUGUCGCUUAGUAAUAUUAUCCAGAUGUCUCUUAUUCAUGGAGCAAAGCUAAGCUACAAGGAAAUUGUUGUUGAGGACUGAGGCGAGCAGCGUUGUUAAAAUCACGCUAGGGGCGUGCCUGUGGCCUUAUAUAUAAUUCCAUUCGUAUUUGAUUAUAGAACCAGGCAGGCAGAAUGCCUUCCAAGACCAGUUCUGUGAUGAGAGCGAGUCGUUCAGAGAUGUUUUCGACGGGAGGAAACAUUGAAUUGGGCUUGAAAUAGAAGAAUAAUAGCAUUUGAUUUUGUUUUAAAUGGGCAGAUCACCUUAUUUUAAAAUUGUUGUAAAUUGUAGCUUUGUUUUCUGCGACUUGCAACCAAAACUUAAGAUUCACUUUAAAUAAAUCGGUUACCUUUCAUUUGCGUGA